rnacentral:rRNA from 1 species
CCUACGGGAGGCAGCAGUGGGGAAUUUUGGACAAUGGGCGCAAGCCUGAUCCAGCUAUUCCGCGUGUGGGAAGACGGCCUUCGGGUUGUAAACCACUUUUGUAGAGAACGAAAAGUCUAUUGAUAAUACCCAUAGAUGAUGACGGUACUCUCAGAAUAAGCACCGGCUAACUACGUGCCAGCAGCCGCGGUAAUACGUAGGGUGCGAGCGUUAAUCGGAUUGACUGGGCGUAAAGGGUGGGCAGGCGGUUUUGUAAGAUGGAUGUGAAAGCCCCGGGCUUAACCUGGGAAAGCCAUACAUGACUGCAAGACUAGAGUGCGUCAGAGGGGGGUGGAAUUCCAAGUGUAGCAGUGAAAUGCGUAGAUAUUUGGAAGAACACCGAUGGCGAAGGCAGCCCCCUGGGACGCAACUGACGCUCAUACACGAAAGCGUGGGGAGCAAACAGGAUUAGAUACCCCUGUAGUC